rnacentral:lncRNA from 1 species
GGUAUUCAAUCCCAAUUUAGUUCUAAAAACAGAUUGAGCCUAAGCCCAAGUAGAAAAAAGGUGGUAAAAAUGAAAAAUAGGGGUGUACAAACUAAAUUAUCUCUAAAGGCAGAUUGGGCCUAAGCCCAAUUGAAAAGGGUGUGACUUAGCGAACAUGGGGUGCAGAAGGGAUUCCCUUUUUUUAAUCAACAGAUGGGCUCAAGCCCAUUGCACAUGCGGUGCCAGAUAGUAGAAACUGGGGUGGCGAGAGAAGGUUUUUUGUUUGGUUUUAUUAUUAUUAUUUUGUUGGUUGGGCUUGACACCCAGGCCCAUGCUCUCUUGACCUAGAAUCGUAAGAGGGGUCAAGCCUCACUACCUCACUCUGCACUCUCAGACUCAAACACCAGAGACUCAAGGUUUCGCGUCUCUCUCUCGAAGACAACCGAACCCUCAAGCUUUCUCUCUCUCACAAGGGCGCGCCACCACCCUCAGCCAGAACCGGCCACCAGGCCAAUACUUGCACCAGUCUCGACCUCGCUGGUGGCAAUAGGUGUCACCGGAACCAUGGUUGGCCACCGCGUCCUCUUUGCGUCUCUCUCUCAAUCGCAACCGCCCAGGAUUGGGUUCCUUCGCCACCACACGACUCGACCGGCCGCCGUUCCCAUCCGGUCAGCCAUGGCAACGCCGACAUCCUCGCCACCAUCCGGCCAGCCAACGCAGGCCGUGACGACCUCACUCUCUCUCCUUCUGCUCGCGUCGGCCUAGGGUGUGGGGUUUGUCUCCAACCGGCCACCGCCUUAUCCAGUCUCGCCGCCGCUGGCGACGGCAGAUGCCACCAGGAUCCAGGCCAGCGUCACUGCACCGCCACCUUCCUUCUCCUCUUUCUAUUCUCGUGCUCUUGGGGUCAUCUCCUUUUCAUUUCACCGGUCACCACAACUCCAAUUGGUCAGGGCUGCCUUAAAGGUCCAACUUUGAACGAAUUGGCAUGGAAUUUGUGAUUUGAUUUCUGUUUAUUGGUUUGAUGCAGGUGAAAGAUGAUGUUGGGUUUGUUCUAUGGUACUCUGUGUAAGUUUCUGUUUAACUGGGUGCAAUUCCUUCGUUGGUUAUUGGAGAUGAACAGAGGCGUGGAGGUUUAAGCUUCAUUAUCUGGUUUGGCUCCUGGGAUUUUUGGUGUUUGAUGGGUAGACAUAGGCUGUCGCGUUGACAAAGAAUGGUGGAACAAGAAAAGCUGAAGUAAACUUGGAUUUCGGUUUGUUGGGAAGAUGAUGUAUCUGCAGAUGACGGGUUACUGGAAUUUGGGUUGCGCAGGUUUGGGUUAUGCAAAGAGAGUACUGGUCUCUAAUGGUUGGAGGUGGUGAAGCAUGUUCAGUUUGUUGGGAUGAAUGGAAAACAAAAAAACAAACCAUGUACAGAAACAAAUCAUGCAUACUCAAUAUAAUAGCAAGUUCGAUAUGAGCAGUCAAAGCCAGGCAUUACCAAAUCAGAACAGAAGGAGAAACCCCAUUAGGAGUAAAUUGUAAUCGUCUAACAUUCAUAACUUUGUGAGUGAUGAAGUUAAAGAGAACUUACCUUCUACGUUUACACUCUCUUCUCUCAAGUCCUUGUGAUCCUUUUUCUUAUGAUUCAACUCCACUUCUUUUCUUCAGUAGCCUUGGUGUUAGUCUAGAGAAAAAACAUUUUUCUUUGCUUCGUAAGUGUGAGGAGUGGUCAUGAAAAAAAUGGAUACUGUUUUUUUUUAUGAUUCCCAACUGGUGAGAAUGGGUGAUCAAAGUAACUGAGAGCAGGGGCAAUGGUUAGUACCGAGUACUGGUCGUGGCUGCCCAAGUGGACGGUUUCAUCAUGGAGGUUAUUAGAGGAGCCGAAGGGUGGAGAACGUGUCCUUCCUUGCCUGCCAAGACCAAACCGCCUCUGCCAAAUGUACCUCUGCCAAUUUGCAAAACGUUCUCUGCCAAAAUCCAUCCCUACACCUGUCAUGUCCCCCUUUUGUCGUUUACAAAUGUGGCUUCACUCAUUUUUUCUUUUUUUUAAUUAAAUAUAUUUAAACAAGAUAAAAUAUAAAAAGGUAAAACUUAAAAAAUGAAAAUAAAAAAUUAAAAAUUAAAAAAUAUAAAGGGAAAAGCAAAAUGAAAUAAAAAGAGAAUAGGAUGAGAUAAAUAGAAUAAAAACUAAAUCAAAUACUAAAUAGUAAAACAAAAAUUAAACAAAAUAAAACAAAAAUAAAAUAAAAUAAAAAUAAAAUAAAAUAAGACAAAAAUAAAAACUAGUCCUAUUAUUCAGUCAUCCGGACGAAAUUGGGUGUUGACACAGUAUCUCAUGACCAAAGAAGGAAAUUACAAACCAAGUAUACCCUUUAUUCCUAGUCACUAGUACAUAUCAAAUUCGAAAAAGUUACAUCAUAAUUAAUAUAACAACUUUUCUACGGUUCAUUACAUGAUUAAUCAAUUGGAUAAAACCCCCAACCCUUUCUAGAAUCAUUAUUGUUUCAGAUUGAGACCCGAAACCAAACACAAACCAAGUUGUUUCGCUGAAUUGCCUUCGUUAACCUUACUCUCACGUUCGAUCGGGUGCAACCUGCACGUUAGCACUUCGACGCUCAAGUUAGCAAAGUCGCACUAAUCUCAAGAUAAGAGUAAUUAUGUCAAAAGUGAAAAAGUACCUGAUACACGCCUUUAUAUUUAUAGGCAUCUGA